UAAUGCAUACUUCAUUGGAUCAAUUCUAUUUGUUGUUAUGCUGAGUUCCUUGACCGUAAUCAGAUAGGUCACAACCUCGUGAUGAGGCUGAGUUGUGGAAUCUCUGUGCGGGAAGGUAGCGCUCAUGGAUUUGUUCUUGAGCAUUGAUGACCGUUCCACUGUGGUCCUCCAACAGUGAUGGUGGGUUCACAACAAGCUGAGAGGU